rnacentral:misc_RNA from 1 species
GAAUCGCUGAAGCUCUAAGGAAGGAACCCUGACUUGCAAUAUUUACGUAAACGACUCUGCUAACAAAGCUCACUACUUUCACCUCCUCUUUUCGUCUUCAUCUUUUUUAAUGGAUUUUUGCAGCUCUCCUUUUGAUUGCCUUAUCUUCGAUUUGGAUGACACUCUGUAUUCUUCCAAGCUGGGAAUCGCUGAAGCUCUAAGGAAGAACAUUGACGAUUUUCUCGUUGAGAAAUGUGGAUUUGCAGAGAACAAAGCUUCGAGUCUCCGAGUUGAACUAUUUAAAACUUAUGGCAGCUCUCUCGCUGGUUUGCGGGAUUUAGGAUAUGAUAUCGGUGCUGAUGAUUAUCAUAGUUUUGUGCAUGGAAGAUUGCCUUACGAUUUGAUCAAUCCAGACGCUCAAUUACGCAACCUUUUGCGGAGCAUUACCCAAAGAAAAAUUAUUUUCACCAAUUCGGAUAGAAUUCACGCAAUGAAGGUCCUGAAAAGAUUAGGUUUAGAAGACUGCUUCGAUCAAAUCAUAUGCUUUGAGACGAUGAAUCCAAAUCUCUCAAAAUCGACGCGUCCUGAUGAAUUCCCUGUUCUUCUCAAGCCUUCGAUGGACGCCAUGAAAAUUGCUCUCCAAGCUGCCGAUGUCGACCCUCGCCGCACGUUGUUCCUGGACGAUAACGCGCGCAAUGUGGCAGCAGGGAAAGCUAUGGGACUUCAAACUGUUCUGGUUGGAAAGACAGCGAAGAGCAAAGAAGCAGAUUAUGUAUUGGAUAACGUAAACAAGCUGGCACAGGUAAUUCCUGAAAUUUGGUUGACUGGAAAGGACAAUAAUGGUGAUCAAAGCAUCAACCGCACCAGGAGUGAAUUAGAUUCCAUCCUCGCAACCACUCCUGUUGGUGCCUAAUCACAUCAACGCCUCUUCCUUCCGUUGUGUACAAUUUGUACAUUUACCAAUUUCCUAAUUCCAUGUGGGUAUCAUCAAAAUGUGCAUAUGAAUGGUCACUUAUGCAAAUGGCAUGUCCAUAUAAUAAAAUUUGCAUCACCAUGUUUAGUUAAAUCCACUCCAUGGGAGCAAUACUUCAUGUGAAUUGAAGAUUUUUCCUGUGGUCUUUCACAUCAAUAAUGUCCAUUGUCUU